rnacentral:sRNA from 1 species
AGGCGUUAAGAAAAAAUCCGCACAUAUGUCGACACAUUGCUCUGGGUGCCCAAAGUUGGGUGGAGAAUGAGGACAUAUGGAGGCCUAAC